UUGUGGAACAUUCUUUGGAAGUUUUUCUUUCACUGGUGGGCCCAAGUAAAUAGCUUCUUUCUUCCCUGGAACUAAAACUGAGGAUUUAAAAGCACCAUUUCCCAUCACAGAUCCAUCCGGUUCAGAGAAAAAAUUUAAUCGAAUGACAUCCUUGUCAUCCAAAUUUCUCUCAAUAAACAAUACCAGCUGUUUCAUUUUCUCCAAAUAUUGCACAUUGUCAUGCCUUAGAUACAGCUGUAAGUUGUAUUCACCCUUGGGAAGUUUUGAGGAAUUUGGAUAGACAUCACCCAUUGCAUACACACGCUUGUUAGUGUCAGAGAUCAUGUAAAAUUGAGACUCAAAUUUAGUGUCAUAUACACGAUUAUUAAGCAAUGGAACAUGAGGCUUUAUUUCAGCUGCAUCCUCCAAUUUGAACUUGUAAGUCAAUGUCAGAGCCAGUGUCUGUUUGCC
rnacentral:misc_RNA from 1 species